GCUGUGAGGCAUGCUGGAGGUAUCAGAAGUGCGAAUGCUGACAUAAGUAACGAUAAAGCGGGUGAAAAGCCCGCUCGCCGGAAGACCAAGGGUUCCUGUCCAACGUUAAUCGGGGCAGGGUGAGUCGACCCCUAAGGCGAGGCCGAAAGGCGUAGUCGAUGGGAAACAGGUUAAUAUUCCUGUACUUGGUGUUACUGCGAAGGGGGGACGGAGAAGGCUAUGUUAGCCGGGCGACGGUUGUCCCG
rnacentral:rRNA from 1 species